rnacentral:rRNA from 1 species
UACGUAGGGGCAAGCGUUGUCCGGAAUCAUUGGGCGUAAAGAGCGUGUAGGCGGUUCGGUAAGUCGGCUGUGAAAGUCCAGGGCUCAACCCUGGGAAUGCCGGUCGAUACUGCCGGACUAGAGUUCGGAAGAGGCGAGUGGAAUUCCCGGUGUAGCGGUGAAAUGCGCAGAUAUCGGGAAGGAACACCUAUGGCGAAGGCAGCUCGCUGGGACGUUACUGACGCUGGAGACGCGAAAGCGUGGGGAGCAAACAGG